rnacentral:siRNA from 1 species
GAGACCAUGGAGAGACUCGGCAU